UACGGGGGGGGCAAGCGUUGUUCGGAAUUACUGGGCGUAAAGGGCUCGUAGGCGGCCAACUAAGUCAGACGUGAAAUCCCUCAGCUUAACUGGGGAACUGCGUCUGAUACUGGAUGGCUUGAGUUUGGGAGAGGGAUGCGGAAUUCCAGGUGUAGCGGUGAAAUGCGCAGAUAUCAGGAGGAACACCGGUGGCGAAGGCGGUGGUCUGGGCCGGCACUGACGCUGAGGAGCGAAAGCGUGGGGAGCAAACAGG
rnacentral:rRNA from 1 species